rnacentral:rRNA from 1 species
UCGCCCGCCGCGCCCCGCGCCCGUCCCGCCGCCCCCGCCCGCUCCUACGGGAGGCAGCAGUGGGGAAUAUUGCACAAUGGGCGAAAGCCUGAUGCAGCAACGCCGCGUGAGCGAUGAAGGCCUUCGGGUCGUAAAGCUCUGUCCUCAAGGAAGAUAAUGACGGUACUUGAGGAGGAAGCCCCGGCUAACUACGUGCCAGCAGCCGCGGUAAUACAAUC